AACAAGGCGUACCUGCGGACCUGCGGAGGGAUCAUUACCGAGUUAUACAACUCAUCAACCCCUGUGAACUUACCUACAACGUUGCUUCGGCGGGAACAGACGGCCCCGUAAAACGGGCCGCCCCCGCCAGAGGACCCCUAACUCUGUUUUUAUAAUGUUUUUCUGAGUAAACAAGCAAAUAAAUUAAAACUUUUAACAAUGGAUCU
rnacentral:misc_RNA from 1 species